rnacentral:lncRNA from 1 species
GAAUGGGUGUUAAGUACCUUUUGAUACGUGUGGUUGUCGUCUUAUAAAUAGAGAUAUCAUGUAAUUAUUCAUGUACCUUGCACUCUUCGUCUAUUGACUUAGUGUGAGCUGGGUUGAUGCAGUAUCGAACAACUUUGGAAGGAGGGUUGUUAUCAGUGCUUUAUUCGUGAGUGGUUUCCACGUCAUGUGAUGCCGACUCGGACUCACUAUCAGACUCAACCAAUGUAAGAUUUAAGAAAGGAUCUAUAUUCAAAGAUUAGAGAGAUUGAAGAGAUUAGAUAAAUUUAGAGAUUUGAAACUAAGAGAAUAAUAGAAGAUGGAGAGAAUAAACUCCUUGAUUUAUUUAUGUGUACAAAGAAGGCUA